rnacentral:tRNA from 1 species
GGUAAAAUGGCUGAGUUAGGCAAUAAAUUGUAAAUUUAUGAACGAAAUUUAAUUGAUUUCUUUUACCA